rnacentral:rRNA from 1 species
UACGAAGGGGGCUAGCGUUGCUCGGAAUCACUGGGCGUAAAGGGUGCGUAGGCGGGUCUUUAAGUCAGGGGUGAAAUCCUGGAGCUCAACUCCAGAACUGCCUUUGAUUACUGAGGAUCUUGAGUUCGGGAGAGGUGGAGUGGAACUGGCGAGUGUAGAGGUGAAAUUCGUAAGAUAUUCGCAAGAACACCAGUGGCGAAGGCGGACUCACUGGCCCGAUACCGUGACGCUGAGGCACGAAAGCGUGGGGAGCAAACA